AAUGGUCUCCACCAGAAAUCCAAGAAUGUGAUCUAUGGCAAGGAAACAUAUGUGGGGUGAGGUGUAUGAGCCUCUGGUCGAUGAUCAAUGGCCACACAACCCCCAUUUUUGUCGAAAAUAGCCAUGAACGACCAUUUUCAAUAAUAUCGAAGGCUAACACCUACGGUUUUUUGACCAAGAAAUGGUCUCCACCAGAAAUCCAAGAAUGUGAUCUACGACAAGGAAACAUAUGUGGGGUGAGGUGUAUGAGCCUCUGGUCGACGAUCAAUGGCCACAAACCCCAUUUUGCCGAAAAUAGCCAUGAAUGACCAUUUUCAAUAAUACGAAGGCUAACACGUACGAGUUUUUAACCAAGAAAUGGUUUCCACCAGAAAUCCAAGAAUGUAAUCUAUGGCAAGGAAACAUAUGUGGGGUGAGGUUUAUGAGCCUCUAGUCGAUGAUAAAUGGCCACACAACCCCAUUUUUUAUGAAAAUAGCCAUGAGCGACCUUGAAAAUAGCCAUGAGCGACCAUUUUCAAUAAUACUAGAGGCUAACACUACGGAUUUUAGACCAAGAAAUGGUCUCCACCAGAAAUCCAAGAAUGUGAUCUAUGGCAAGGAAACAUAUGUGGGGUGAGGUGUAUGAGCGUCUGGUCGAUGAUCAAUGGCCACACAACCCCAUUUUUGUCGAAAAUAGCCAUGAACGACCAUUUUCAAUAAUACGAAGGCUAACACUACGGAUUUUUGACCAAGAAAUGGUCUCCACCAGAAAUCCAAGAAUGUGAUCUAUGGCAAGGAAACAUAUGUGGGGUGAGGUGUAUGAGCCUCUGUCGAUGAUCAAUGGCCACACAACCCCAUUUUUGUCGAAAAUAGCCAUGAAUGACCAUUUUCAAAAUACCAAGGCUAACACUACGGAUUUUUGACCAAGAAAUGGUCUCCACCAGAAAUCCAAGAAUGUGAUCUAUGGCAAGGAAACAUAUGUGGGGUGAGGUGUAUGAGCCUCUGGUCGAUGAUCAAUGGCCACACAACCCCAUUUUGCCGAAAAUAGCCAUGAACGACCAUUUUCAAUAAUACGAAGGCUAACACGUACGAGUUUUUACCAAGAAAUGGUCUCCACCAGAAAUCCAAGAAUGUGAUCUAUGGCAAGGAAACAUAUGUGGGGUGAGGUUAUGAGCCUCUGGUGAUGAUAAUGGCCACACAACCCCAUUUUUUGUGAAAAUAGCCAUGAGCGACCAUUUUCAAUAAUACUAGAGGCUAACACUACGGAUUUUGACCAAGAAAUGGUCUCCACCAGAAAUCCAAGAAUGUGAUCUAUGGCAAGGAAACAUAUGUGGGGUGAGGUGUAUGAGCUCUGGUCGAUGAUCAAUGGCCACACAACCCCAUUUUUGUCGAAAAUAGCCAUGAACGACCAUUUUCAAUAAUACGAAGGCUAACACUACGGAUUUUUGACCAAGAAAUGGUCUCCACCAGAAAUCCAAGAAUGUGAUCUAUGGCAAGGAAACAUAUGUGGGGUGAGGUGUAUGAGCUCUGGUCGAUGAUCAAUGGCCACACAACCCCAUUUUUGUCGAAAAUAGCCAUGAACGACCAUUUUCAAUAAUACGAAGGCUAACACUACGGAUUUUUGACCAAGAAAUGGUCUCCACCAGAAAUCCAAGAAUGUGAUCUAUGGCAAGGAAACAUAUGUGGGGUGAGGUGUAUGAGCCUCUGGUCGAUGAUCAAUGGCCACACAACCCCAUUUUGCGAAAAUAGCCAUGAAUGACCAUUUUCAAUAAUACGAAGGCUAACACGUACGAUUUUUAACCAAGAAAUGGUCUCCACCAGAAAUCCAAGAAUGUGAUCUAUGGCAAGGAAACAUAUGUGGGGUGAGGUUUAUGAGCUCUAGUCGAUGAUAAUGGCCACACAACCCCAUUUUUUGAAAAUAGCCAUGAGACUUGAGCCAUGAGCGACAUUUUCAAUAAUACUAGAGGCUAACACUACGGAUUUUGACCAAGAAAUGGUCUCCACCAGAAAUCCAAGAAUGUGAUCUAUGGCAAGGAAACAUAUGUGGGGUGAGGUGUAUGAGCUCUGGUCGAUGAUCAAUGGCCACACAACCCCAUUUUUGUCGAAAAUAGCCAUGAACGACCAUUUUCAAUAAUACGAAGGCUAACACUACGGAUUUUUGACCAAGAAAUGGUCUCCACCAGAAAUCCAAGAAUGUGAUCUAUGGCAAGGAAACAUAUGUGGGGUGAGGUGUAUGAGCCUCUGGUCGAUGAUCAAUGGCCACACAACCCCAUUUUUGUCGAAAAUAGCCAUGAAUGACCAUUUUCAAUAAUACGAAGGCUAACACUACGGAUUUUUACCAAGAAAUGGUCUCCACCAGAAAUCCAAGAAUGUGAUCUAUGGCAAGGAAACAUAUGUGGGGUGAGGUGUAUGAGCCUCUGGUCGAUGAUCAAUGGCCACACAACCCCAUUUUGCGAAAAUAGCCAUGAAUGACCAUUUUCAAUAAUACCGAAGGCUAACACUACGAUUUUUAACCAAGAAAUGGUUCCACCAGAAAUCCAAGAAUGUGAUCUAUGGCAAGGAAACAUAUGUGGGGUGAGGUUAUGAGCCUCUGUCGAUGAUAAUGGCCACACAACCCCAUUUUUGUCGAAAAUAGCCAUGAACGACCAUUUUCAAUAAUACUAGAGGCUAACACUACGGAUUUUAGACCAAGAAAUGGUCUCCACCAGAAAUCCAAGAAUGUGAUCUAUGGCAAGGAAACAUAUGUGGGGUGAGG
rnacentral:lncRNA from 1 species